GUGCUCGCUUUGGCAGCACAUACACUAAAAUUGGAACGAUACAGAGAAGAUUAACAUGGCCUCUGUGCAAGGAUGACAUGCAAAUUCGUGAAGCGUUCCAUAUUUUU
rnacentral:snRNA from 14 species